rnacentral:sRNA from 1 species
CGUCGACCACCCAGGGCUGGGGCGAGCCAGGCUGCCUUUCGAACUUGGGGGCUUCUCCUCUUGUCUCCCACUGGUGCUCUGGAUGUGAAUCCAUCCAGGGGCCAGGAUGACAAUCCGAUACCAAGGCCAGCAGUACAGGCUGAGGAUGGCAUUUCUCCAAAAGGUUGAAAUAUCAGUAAAAAACAUGCAGAACCAAAGAUGGGGACCAAAAUCCAAAGCCAGAGGGUCUUGGAAAUCAGAGGGUCUUACAACAUAACAGGCAGUACAGGCCAUGGCUCAGGCUAGGCAUGGAACAGACUGCAGUUCUCUUCUACAAAUCAAUCUAGACUGGACAGACAGAACUCCGAGGGAGGAAAGAAAAAUGAAUCUGAUGUUACUUCUUGAAACCACAUUUUCUGAAGUCACCAUUUUUAUGUAUCUAUCAACUCAUCAUUUUUAUGUAUAUAUCAAUAUGAUUUUAUGAUCUUAUUUUUUUCCUACUAAUGUGAUGAAUUACCUUGAUUGAUUUUAGAAUAUUAAAUCACUUUUGUAUUCCUGGAAUAAACCCUAGAUGGAUGCUUGA